UUUUAUAGUUUGAUUCUGAUUUAGUUAUGUAUUUGGGCACUACCUAAGAUAUAUUAGUACGGUGCUUCAAGAUUUGGUUGCUUUCAAUUCUGUAAAUGUACUUACUAUUUGAUUUUUCUUAUCAAAAAUUUGGUUUUGUAGGAACAAUUAAGGUCUGAUAGUCGAUCACUGUCAGGCAUAAACUUAAUGCUUUAUGCCUUUAUCAUGGUUCCUUUAGGUUUCUGCUGCAUUGUAAGUUAUGCAACAAUGGUAGUUCUGAUUUGGUAGUCAUGUUCUCUGUUUCAAUAUUUCACUCUUGGAUUCUAGGACUUUCUUUUUGUUUGCUUAUAUUAUUGUUCUUCUCUCCUUUAUCACUGGCAUGUUGGUUAGUACGUUUUGUAUCCUAUCGUAUCUUUUCUUACAUCUUUUUGUGCUUCCAGUUUGUCAUCCUUAGUUUAUUUGGAUGGCUAGGUAUGUUUCAGUGGGAAGGUUUCAAAGUUCUUCUGACUUGAAGUCUUGACUAGUGAGCAUCUGUAAAUUAUGAGUGAUUUCUCUUUGUUACAAACCCAAAUGCAAUACAUUUUAUAUUCAAAUAAAUACUACUUGUAUUAUAUUCCGUUAGUGUGAGAAACCAUACAAAAAGCAGUCUUCAUAGCUCUUUGUUUAUUCUACUUCCUGCAGCGAGUGAGAAACCAAUCAAGGAGAAGACAUGCUAUUACUUUAUUUUUGAAGGCCUUGUGGUAACUAUUGUCUUUUUCUUAUCAGGUUACUUUUGCCUGAUCUGUUCAACAAGGCUCUUCACCAUACUGGUUUUGGUUCUAUCAGCUCAUUGUUUUCCAUUGAAGAUAUGUCUCAGCCUCAUUAAUUAAUUCACUCCAUUUAAUUGAUUUUGUUGCUCAUAUCAUCGAGAAGGAAAUAUUGUUUCCAAUGCCAUUGACAUUUGCGGAUGGGAUCAAGGUGUUUUAGGAAUUUCUAAACAAGUAGCUGCAAGGUUAAGAAAGCUCCUAGCUGGGCGGAAGUUGAAGUGAUAAGACGAAUUGGAGAAGGAAAUACUGAAUGUUAGGGUUAACAUCAGAAGCUACAUGAGAGCUAAGCUAAGUAUUAUUGUUCUUCUUUCUGUUUUGAUUCCUUCAGAACACACGUGUUCCCUGAGAACUAAAUUAGGUAGCUUUGCUUUCUAUUCUUCUACAGUUUCAAGUAUGAAGAGGCAUUUUGACGAGAAGACGUACAUGUUAAAUAAGUCAUUUUCCAUUGUGCAGUUAUGACAACUAUGGAAUACAAGCAAAGUCUCUCAUAAGUGUUUCUAGAGGUUUUUCAUUUGCUGUGUAAUUGCUGUAAUAUGAUUAUACAAUCCAAAACAUGGGGCAGGCCAGGGGAAAAAUGAAAAUUUAUAAAAUAAAUGCUUGAUUUUGGCGCCAAUUAAACUGGCGCAAUUUUUUU